rnacentral:rRNA from 1 species
GACGAACGCUGGCGGCGUGCUUAACACAUGCAAGUCGAACGGAAAGGCCCUGCUUUUGUGGGGUGCUAGAGUGGCGAACGGGUGAGUAACACGUGAGUAACCUGCCCUUGACUUUGGGAUAACUUCAGGAAACUGGGGCUAAUACCGGAUAGGAGCUCCUGAUGCAUGGUGGGGGUUGGAAAGUUUCGGCGGUUGGGGAUGGACUCGCGGCUUAUCAGCUUGUUGGUGGGGUAGUGGCUUACCAAGGCUUUGACGGGUAGCCGGCCUGAGAGGGUGACCGGCCACAUUGGGACUGAUAUACGGCCCAGACUCCUACGGGAGGCAGCAGUGGGGAAUAUUGCACAAUGGGCGGAAGCCUGAUGCAGCAACUCCGCGUGCGGGAUGACGGCCUUCGGGUUGUAAACCGCUUUCGCCUGUGACGAAGCGUGAGUGACGGUAAUGGGUAAAGAAGCACCGGCUAACUACGUG